rnacentral:rRNA from 1 species
GUGAGGAAUAUUGGUCAAUGGGCGAAAGCCUGAACCAGCCAUGUCGCGUGAAGGAUGAAGGUCCUAUGGAUUGUAAACUUCUUUUGCAGGAGGGUAAAGUGAGCUACGUGUAGUUCAUUGCAAGUACCCUGCGGAUAAGCAUCGGCUAACUCCGUGCCAGCAGCCGCGGUAAUACGGAGGAUGCGAGCGUUAUCAGGAUUUAUUGGGUUUAAAGGGUGCGUAGGCGGACUAAUUAGUCAGCGGUGAAAUUUUGCGGCUCAACCGUAAGACUGCCGUUGAAACUGUUCGUCUUGAGUGCGGUAGAGGUAGGCGGAAUGUGUGGUGUAGCGGUGAAAUGCUUAGAUAUCACACAGAACACCGAUUGCGUAGGCAGCUUACUGGAGCGCAACUGACGCUGAGGCACGAAAGCGUGGGGAUCGAACAGGAUUAGAUACCCUGGUAGUCC